GUUUAGGUAGUUCAAUGGUAGAACGUCCGAUUGUGGUUCGGAAGAUUAGGGUUCGACUCCCCACCUUUACCCGA
rnacentral:tRNA from 1 species